CUCCUGUUGUGCAAAACCAUACCAGCCAGUCACCUGUCGCAAUCAGCUUCUCGCUGUCAUCCAAAAUUUGUGAGGAAAGAGGUUGGAUUUUCCAGCCCUCUGACUCAAAUGCUGAAGAUCUGCCUUAUGUGCGGGCACUGAAGAGACUACAACAAAUUCAAAAACAAAUAAAAGAACAAGUAUCCGAGCAGAAAGAAGCAGGGUUUGGUAAACCAAUUAUUCUCCGACAUUAUGGUGAUCCCAGAGAAGAAAAUUUCCUCAAGACAUGGAAGGGUCAGACUGGCAUGACUGUCACACCAGCGCUGCUGUAUGGCAAACCUCAGAUCCCAAUGGCCAAGAAAACAGACCCCCCACAGAGAAAACUGCAUUAUGGGCUGAAUGAUGGCUCAUCUUUAAUUUAAUAUCCUUUCUGUUUACACAGCACAUGUGAAUGCCAGCAAGCGUGUGACAGGCUGCACAUUCUGUCUGUCUGCCUGUCAUGGUGGAAACCACAGAAGAUACAGUGCUUCAUAAAUAUACUUCUCACUUAUAUGUCAUCUUUGCUCCUGGGAAGGUCACUCUUGGCCUUUACCAGCAGGAAUUUCCUAUUGGCCCGUGUUAGCUUAGUCAGGCAGGAGGAUUUUGUACUCAGAGCUCUUCCCAUCCUCCAUCUCUCCCAACCCACUUGGCUCUUAAGGAUAUAGAGCAGGUAGAGAGUGUUAGUCCCUGUGCGCUCUGCAUAGGCAUGCAACAGAAGCCAUGAAACUGAGAGAGCAUGAUCAAGUUAACUCCUUGACUCAUUUUAGCUAUCCUUCUGAAUAUCUUGCUGUUUGCCAAAGCUACUGCAAUCUCCCAGGUGGGGGCUUGUGUACCAACAUAUUUAGCCCUUCUCCGGAUCACUCUAUAGUUGGAACUUUCACCCCUUUUGGACAUGGCAGUAUCUGUCUUCCUAGCAGCACCAUAACAAUGAUGUUUAAUCAGGAAGGAGGUCUGGUGACUAAUAAAGAUGGAGAAAUGGCCAGAGAAUGGAAAUGGCCUCGGGAUGGCAAGCUUGCCCAGCCAGUUAUAAUACAGCCAAAGUUGACAGAGUUAUUGAAGAAAUACAAAGGUCCAGAGGAGACUAUAAGCCAUGUAAAUGAUAUCAGUGCAGCUAGAGAACUGAGGAAGCUACAGAGGAAGAUCCGGAGCAUUGUGGAGGACUGGCUGGAGCAUUAUCGAACUGCCCUAGGAACUGACUCCACACACAUUCAGAAAAUGUCUGACUUUCCUCUGCAACUCUCAAGGAAAUGCAAAAUUCAGUCUGCAGAUGCUCUCUCAGUUACCUCAGUCAUGCAGAGAUCAAAAGGGAAGAGGAAAGACAACAGCCAAGCUACCAAGUCAGAAAGUCCUCUCCUUCUAGAUCAACUGCAGUCGGCUCCUCCUCACAACAUGCAGCAGGAACCAUGCUCUUAUUCUCUCAGGGUCAUAUCCCAGACUGCUUGCCCUGCUGUUCUUCGGAGAAUUAUGAUGGGGGAGGAAGGGAAGACAUGCAGAUGUAGUAAUCGUAAGAUUCCCAAUGUGUCCGACCUGGAAUAUGAUCACCUAAUUAACAAUCAGAUGUCCUCCAAGGAGCAGAUCGUAGUGGUCUGUGUCUCUUCUUCUUCACAAAUAAAAAAAGAUCCUAGUGAAGACAAAUUAGAGCAGCUGUAUGAAAGAAAAAACAAG
ensembl:lncRNA